rnacentral:misc_RNA from 1 species
AAAAGCUCAACAAUGUUAGAAGACAAGGUAGAAGAAUAAUCACGAAAAAUCAUGGAUCCCCGUACUAGUGCCCAGGAUGUACACAGAUGUGACCAUUGUGAGACCGCCAUAGUACACAGCUACUGUGACUUUUGUCAUGUCAACCUCUGCAAGCCCUGUGUAGUAGAUCACAUCUCAGAUGGAUAUGACAAACAUAAAAUUGUCCCUUUCCAGGAACGAAGGUCGACCCUCAUUUAUCCGAAUUGUGGUAAACAUCCACAGAAAAACUGCGAAUUGCAAUGCAGGGAAUGCGGCAGCUUUGUUUGUUCUUCCUGUAUGGCAUCUGAUCAGCACAAGGGACAUAGCUUUGUCGAAGUCACAGAGGUUUACAAGACAAAGAAAGACAUUAUUGAAAAAGAUACGAAAGAAGUAUGAAAACUUAAUUUCUCCGAAAUAUGAGAAAAUUGUCAUUGACUUGGAAAAUCAGCUUGUAAACCUAGAUGGAGGAUAUGAGAAACUUACAACAACAAUAUCCAAACAAGGAGAGCAAUGGCACAAAGAAAUCGAUAUUGUCAUCAACAAAAUGAAAACUGAAAUCAGCGAGAUAAAAGAUAAACACAGAGACAUUUUACAGAAACACUUGGAAGAAAUCAAACAGAUACAGUCCCUCAUAAAACAAACAUUACUUGCUAUUAAAGAAAUAAAGAACUCCACUGAAUUGGCCCCAACCAUUAAGUACAGCUCUAAGAUCAGAGAUUUCAGCAAGCUUCCACCCAAAGUUAAGGUUUCAUUGCCAACAUUCAUUCAAAAACCAAUAGAGCGUGAGAAGUUGUAUAGUUUGUUUGGACAGAUCACCCCAUUAUCAACUGCUUCAAAAGAAAAUGUCUUGUCACCAAACCAACCCAACGCUUCGGUGAGAGAACUACUGGAUGAACCAGAGCUAGUUGCCACUAUACAGACGGGGGAUAACGGUUUACGCUGUGUUACCUAUAUAAAUGAUGACAAGAUAUGGACUAGUGGGUGGAACAAUGAAAUCAAAUGCUUCAAUGCUUAUGGUUAUCUCCAACAGACAAUUGUUACAAAAUCAGGAGAAAUGCCUUAUGAUAUAGCUGUAGACGUAGGCAGGGAUCUACUGUACUCAGAUUGGAGAGUAGGGACAGUGUAUAAAGUAAAGAAUGGACAGACAGAAGAGUUGAUCAGAUUACAGGGAUGGAGGCCUAGUAAUCUGUGUGUCACCUGUACUGGUGAUCUCCUGGUUACCUUGUUCAGUGUUGAUUACACUCAAUCUAAGGUUGUCCGUUACUCCGGAUCUACAGAGAAACGAACCAUUCAAUUUGAUGAUAAAGGUAAACCUCUGUACUCAGGGAAUAGUUAUAAUAAAUACAUCACAGAGAAUAGAAACCAUGACAUCUGUGUAGCUGACUGUGGGGCUGGUGCAGUUGUGGUGGUUAAUCAGGACGGGAAACUCAGAUGGAGAUACACCGGUCAUCCCUCAACCACCAAGACCAAACCAUUUCAACCCUGGGGUAUCACAGCAGACAGUCAGAGUCGUAUCCUGACAGCCGAUAGAGACAACCAUUGUAUCCACAUUCUGGACCAGAAUGGACAGUUUCUCCGUUACAUUGAUAACUGUGAUCUGAACAAUCCUUUUGGUUUAAGUGUGGACAACAAUGACAAUUUGUUUGUGUGUGAGUACAACAAAGGCAAUGUGAAGAAAAUUAGAUAUGUGAAAUAGUUUC